rnacentral:tRNA from 1 species
GAGCCUUAAAGGCGCGGAAA